AUAUCAAUAAGCGGAGGAAAAGAAACCAACCGGGAUUGCCUCAGUAACGGCGAGUGAAGCGGCAAAAGCUCAAAUUUGAAAUCUGGCCCUGUGGUCCGAAUUGUAAUUUGAAGAAGCGACUCUGGUACCGGCCCUUGUCUAUGUUCCUUGGAACAGGACGUCACAGAGGGUGAGAAUCCCGUGCGAUGGGGAGUCCGGAGCCAUGUAGAGCGUUUUCGACGAGUCGAGUUGUUUGGGAAUGCAGCUCUAAGUGGGUGGUAAAUUCCAUCUAAAGCUAAAUACAGGCGAGAGACCGAUAGCGAACAAGUACUGUGAAGGAAAGAUGAAAAGAACUUUGAAAAGAGAGUGAAAAAGUACGUGAAAUUGUUGAAAGGGAAGGGCUUGGGAUCAGACUUUGUAUUUCCAUGGCGUUCUUUCGGGAGCGUCCUCUGGGUUUACGGGGCCAGCAUGGGUUCUGCGGGCAAGACAAGGGGGCCAGGAACGUGGCUCUGCUUCGGCGGAGUGUUAUAGCCUGGACUUUCGGUUGCCACGCGGGACUGAGGACUGCGAAUCUAGGAUGCUGGCAUAAUGAU
rnacentral:rRNA from 1 species